UAGCUGGUCUUUGCUCUUUUGUGGGUU
rnacentral:piRNA from 1 species